rnacentral:rRNA from 1 species
GGGGAAUAUUGCACAAUGAGGGAAAAACCUGAUCAUCCCAUUCCGGGGGUGUGAGGAGUCCUUACGGUUGUAAAGACCUUUCAUCGAGAAAAAAAAAACACCAUAAUUAGUCGUGUGGUGAUUCAGUUACUCGGAGAAGGAGCACCGGUUAACUCCGUGCCAGCAGCCGGGGUAAUUCGGAGGGUGCAACAGUUACUCGGGAAUUCCUGGGCGUAAAGCGCCCGCAGGCGGUUUGUUAAGUCAGAUGUGAAAUCCCCGCGCUUAAAAAAAGGAACUGCAUUUGAAACUGCCAAGCUUUAGUCUUGUAGAGGGGGGUAGAAUUCCCGGGGUAGCGGUGAAAUGCGUAGAGAUCUGGAGGAAAACCGGUGGCGAAGACCCCCCCCUGGACAAAGACUAUCCUCCAAAAUCGAAAGCGUGGGGAGCAAACAUC